rnacentral:rRNA from 1 species
UGCAGAAUCCCGUGAACCAUCGAGUCUUUGAACGCAAGUUGCGCCUGAAGCCAUUAGGCUGAAGGCAUGUCUGCCUGGGCGUCACGC